rnacentral:rRNA from 1 species
CNGGCGGUUUAGUAAGUCUGAAGUUAAAGNCAUUGGCUCAACCAAUGUAUGCUUUGGAAACUGUUAGACUNGAGUGCAGAAGGGGAGAGUGGAAUUCCAUGUGUAGCGGUGAAAUGCGUAGAUAUAUGGAGGAACACCGGUGGCGAAAGCGGCUCUCUGGUCUGUCACUGACGCUGAGGCUCGAAAGCGUGGGUAGCGAACAGGAUUAGAUACCCUGGUAGUCCACGCCGUAAACGAUGAGUGCUAGGUGUUAGGUCCUUUCCGGGACUUAGUGCCGCAGCUAACGCAAUAAGCACUCCGCCUGGGGAGUACGACCGCAAGGUUGAAACUCAAAGGAAUUGACGGGGGCCCGCACAAGCGGUGGAGCAUGUGGUUUAAUUCGAAGCAACGCGAAGAACCUUACCAGGUCUUGACAUCCCGAUGCCCGCUCUAGAGAUAGAGUUUUUCUUCGGAACAUCGGAGACAGGUGGUGCAUGGUUGUCGUCAGCUCGUGUCGUGAGAUGUUGGGUUAAGUCCCGCAACGAGCGCAACCCUUAUUGUUAGUUGCCAUCAUUGAGUUGGGCACUCUAGCGAGACUGCCGGUAAUAAACCGGAGGAAGGUGGGGAUGACGUCAAAUCAUCAUGCCCCUUAUGACCUGGGCUACACACGUGCUACAAUGGUUGGUACAACGAGUCGCAAGCCGGUGACGGCAAGCUAAUCUCUGAAAGCCAAUCUCAGUUCGGAUUGUAGGCUGCAACUCGCCUACAUGAAGUCGGAAUCGCUAGUAAUCGCGGAUCAGCACGCCGCGGUGAAUACGUUCCCGGGCCUUGUACACACCGCCCGUCACACCACGAGAGUUUGUAACACCCAAAGUCGGUGAGGUAACCAUAUAGGAGCCAGCC